GACGAACGCUGGCGGCGUGCCUAAUACAUGCAAGUUGAGCGCUGAAGGUUGGUACUUGUACCAACUGGAUGAGCAGCGAACGGGUGAGUAACGCGUGGGGAAUCUGCCUUUGAGCGGGGGACAACAUUUGGAAACGAAUGCUAAUACCGCAUAAAAACUUUAAACACAAGUUUUAAGUUUGAAAGAUGCAAUUGCAUCACUCAAAGAUGAUCCCGCGUUGUAUUAGCUAGUUGGUGAGGUAAAGGCUCACCAAGGCGAUGAUACAUAGCCGACCUGAGAGGGUGAUCGGCCACAUUGGGACUGAGACACGGCCCAAACUCCUACGGGAGGCAGCAGUAGGGAAUCUUCGGCAAGGGACGAAAGUCUGACCGAGCAACGCCGCGGGAGUGAAGAAGGGUGUCGGAUCGUAAAACUCUGUUGGUAGAGAAGAACGUUGGUGAGAGUGGAAAGCUCAUCAAGUGACGGUAACUACCCAGAAAGGGACGGCUAACUACGUG
rnacentral:rRNA from 1 species